CAGAAAAGUAGAUGGUCAGUAGAGAACGGAAAUUCCCAAGUACCCAGCCAAUAGGAAAGGGGACGGGGACCACCCCUGGCCAGGAAAGGCUGCAGUUCUUUCAUCUGCACAAUGACAAGGCCAGGUCUCCAUCCUGGGAGCACUCCUGAGGUGACAAGGACGCACUCCUGAGGUGACAAAGACACACUCCAAAUGACAGCAUGUGGGCCCCUGAAGAAAGGAAAUCUGCAAAUACACAAAUGGUACUCCA